UGAGUUCAACUUUGGAGUUGGACAAUAGCCAGCGCAGAACAAUUGGCGCGGAGAUUGGAGUUGGCCGAGAACGAGGGCAGAUAAAAAAGAACCGCAUGCCGCUGCAGAAGUGUCUUUAGAAAUGAUACAGUUUGCUUAAUUUGAUCGCGCAUUAUUCAACAAAGUUCAGUAGUGUGUUCAGAAAAUUACUUUGAAUUUAGUGCGUUAGUCUUAAACGAAUAUUAUAAAUAUUCAGUGAUUUAUAUUUGCUAUAUUGAAUAGUUGAAUUCAAGGCUCAACAUUAUUUGGAAUCUAUAGCAGAUAAGGUGGCAGUUGGGUGGCAGAUAAAAGUAAACGAGGCUACUUAAUUGGUUUAUGCAAUCACUUCGGAGUGAAUCAAUUUGUUGUUUGAGUCAUAGGAGAAACUUAUUGUAAGUACU